GAUGAACGCUGGCGGCGUGCUUAACACAUGCAAGUCGAACGAAGCGUGGGGAGGGAAGCCUCCGGGCGGAACAUCCCAUGACUGAGUGGCGGACGGGUGAGUAACGCGUGGGGAACCUGCCCUAUACAGGGGGAUAACGGCGGGAAACUGCUGUUAAUACCGCAUAAGCGCACGAGGGCCGCAUGGUCUGGUGUGAAAAACUCCGGUGGUAUAGGAUGGACCCGCGUCUGAUUAGCCAGUUGGCGGGGUAACGGCCCACCAAAGCGACGAUCAGUAGCCGGCCUGAGAGGGCGACCGGUCACAUUGGGACUGAGACACGGCCCAGACUCC
rnacentral:rRNA from 1 species